rnacentral:tRNA from 1 species
GGUCCCGUAGUGGAGCGGUUUAACACGCCUCGCCUGUCACGCGGGAGAUCGCGGGUUCGAUUCCCGUCGGGACCG